rnacentral:rRNA from 1 species
AUGAAAAACCAAACGUGGCACUUAGUUCCUUGCAAGCAAGGGAGGAAUGUUAUAGAUUGUAAAUGGGUAUAUAAAAUCAAGAAAAGACCUGAUGGCACAAUAGAUAGAUACAAGGCUAGGCUAGUAGCUAAAGGCUUUAAACAACGAUAUGGUAUUGAUUAUGAGGACACCUUUAGUCCAGUUGUUAAAGCUGCUACUAUCAGACUUGUUUUGUCUGUUGCUAUUUCCAGGGGAUGGAAUCUUCGCCAAUUGGAUGUGCAGAAUGCGUUCUUACACGGCGUUCUCGAAGAGGAAGUCUAUAUGAGACAACCACCUGGGUUUGAAGAUGGUUCUAAACCUAAUCAUGUGUGCAAGCUGGACAAGGCUUUAUAUGGUCUCAAACAAGCCCCUAGAGCUUGGUACUCGAGGCUAAGCACUAAACUACAACAACUUGGGUUUUGA